UGGGGAAUUUUGGACAAUGGGCGAAAGCCUGAUCCAGCAAUGCCGCGUGUGUGAAGAAGGCCUUCGGGUUGUAAAGCACUUUUUGUCCGGAAAGAAAAUCCUUGGCUCUAAUACAGUCGGGGGAUGACGGUACCGGAAGAAUAAGCACCGGCUAACUGCGUGCCAGCAGCCGCGGUAAUACGUAGGGUGCAAGCGUUAAUCGGAAUUACUGGGCGUAAAGCGUGCGCAGGCGGUUUGCUAAGACCGAUGUGAAAUCCCCGGGCUCAACCUGGGAACUGCAUUGGUGACUGGCAGGCUAUGAGUAUGGCAGAGGGGGGUUAGAAUUCCACGUGUAGCAGUGAAAUGCGUAGAGAUGUGGAGGAAUACCGAUGGCGAAGGCAGCCCCCUGGGCCAAUACUGACGCUCAUGCACGAAAAGCGGGGGGAGCCAAACAGGAUUAGAUACCCUGGUAGUCCACGCCCUAAACGAUGUCAAC
rnacentral:rRNA from 1 species